GACAGAGGGGGCAAGCGUUGCUCGGAAUUACUGGGCGUAAAGGGCGCGUAGGCGGGAUGGCAAGUCGGUCGUGAAAUCCCUCGGCUCAACCGAGGAACGACGAUCGAUACUGCUGUUCUUGAGGAUUGCAGAGGAGACUGGAAUUCCCGGUGUAGCGGUGAAAUGUGUAGAGAUCGGGAGGAACACCGGUGGCGAAGGCGGGUCUCUGGGCAAUUCCUGACGCUGAGGCGCGAAAGCGUGGGGAGCAAACGG
rnacentral:rRNA from 1 species